AGUCACUUCCAAUAAAAUCUUUUUGGCCUUUGGGUCACAGGCCACCUGCACUUGAACUCUAGCGUCUGGGGACACAUGGCCCAGGGCUCCCUGCUCUGCAGGAGAGGCCCACUAAAGGUCCUCAGUGACACCCUUUAUGAUCCAGAUCAAAGGGGAAAGCAGUUCCCACUUGGGACUGAGCUGGCCGUGCUGCCACCUUCUCCUCUGAUAUCCAGGCUCCAUGGCCCUCCAGCCAGGUCUCCCCAGAGUUUCCCUAUCUCUGCCCGCCAGCCUCCUCCUGCAGAGGAGAGGACCCCUCCCGGUGAGCGCCUGGCAGUGCACAGAUCCAGCAGGCUCUGGCUGUGACUCCCAGCCUCUUCCUCCUGCCUUCUCUGCUGGAGUCUCCCCUGAGUCUCUUUUCACAUAUCUGCACCCUGAGCAGCCCCCUCCCCCGUGUGCAUCUGCCUAGCCGGUCUGCGGGGUGGUACCCAAGACUGUGGGUCCUUCCCAAUGACGCUCUGUGCGAGUGCAUGCUUCAUUAGGUGACCAAGGAAAGAAUGGGCUUGCUCGGGGCUCCUGCUGGCCACUGAUCGUAGCCUGCGUGGUUGGCUGUGUGCGUCUGAUGUCUGCAUGUGUAUGCGAUCGGCCUAAAUGUUUCCCCAGCUGUCCCUCCCCUCGGGAGAUACACGGAGGGAGGCCUUGCGUGAAUGAGAGAGGCAUAUUCUUUACUCUUCUCCUGGCAUAAAUCCGGACUUAACUUGGGUGUGUGGGUGACUGCAAAAUAAAUGUUGAUUACAGCAACGGCGUCUUUGGGAGGCAGUCGCUGCCAGGGAUGCUGCUGGGAUGGCGGUCGGAGAUGAAUCACACUGGCUGCUGCGCGAGAGGAGAGGGCUCCGCGGCCAGACCACACUCCCUGCCCGCCCUCGUCUGCCCUUUUACCUUCCCUUCUUCAUCUCUCACUGCAUCUGAUGGGCGAGGGGGCUUCCUAACCAGGCUCUCACAUCUCCAGGCCUUCCCAGCCCUCCACCUGACCUUUGUGUACCUGGCGUCACAGAUCAUACCCCUCAGGCUAACGGCCCGUUACACCUCCUAACAGCUUGGGGAAGUGGGGGCCUUUAUCCUAGGUCCCCAUCAGGGGACUGAGGCUCACCCGAACUAGAGUGUAAGGAAUAGGGCCAGAGCCCACGGGCCAUGCCCUGAGUCCCUGUUAACUCCCAAGGUGCCUGUUCACCUGCAGGAAUGUUCCCGACCCCUUACAGGAAAAUAAACAAAGCAAAGUUGCUCUGCCCUUUUGAGGUUCCCUACACGUUUUGUGCUUAUUUCCUCUCUGUUUUAUGGUUCUUAAGCUUGUCUCUCUAACCAAAUUGUGGGGUCCGUGAGAGUGGGGAUCUUUGUGUCUCACCAACAGCCAGCACCUGCCUGGCCCAGGGAGUGGAUGAUACCCGUGAUGAGAAUAAUAGCGAUUUGUAUUUGAGCCCUAGUAUUUGAGCCCUUACUCUGUACCAGCCUUGCUAUCAAACACGUUACAGCUGGGCUGCCUUGUAUAUAAGGGACUUGAGCAUCCACGGAUUUGGGGCUCCACCAGACUCCUCAUUUGGUGUCUACCAGGGACCUGGAAUCCAUGACCCGUGGAUGCCUGUAUUUCCCUAUUUCCUUUACCUUAAAAAGCAGAGGCAGGGAGUUCCCAUUGUGGCUCAGUGGUUAACGAAUCCGACUUGGAACCAUGAGUUUGCAGUUUCCAUCCCUGGCCUCACUCAGUGGAUUAAGGAUCCAGUGGUUGCCUUGAGCUGUGGUGUAGGUCGAAGACGAGGAUCAGAUCUCGCGUUGCUGUGGCUUUGGCGUAGGCCAGCAGCUGUAGUUCCGAUUAGACCCCUAGCCUGGGAACCUCGACAUGGCAUGGGCAUGGCCCUUAAAAAAGAAAAAGGCUGAGGUAUCUAGGAGUUCCUAUUGUGGUUCAGCGAGUUAAGAACCUAACUAGUGCAUUUUCCAUCGUGGCUCAGUGGUUAACAAUCCAACUAGGAACUAUGAGGUUGCAGGUUCGAUCCCUGGCCUUGCUCAGUGGGUUAAGGAUCCAGUGUUGCCAUGAGCUGUGGUGUAGGUCACAUACUCAGCUCGAUCCCACAUUGCUGUGGCUGUGGUGUAGGCUGGUGGCUACAACUCUGAUUUGACCCCUAGCCUGGGAACCUUCAUGUGCCAUAGGUGCAGCCCUAGAAAAGACCAAAAAAAAAAAAAAAAA
ensembl:lncRNA